UGGAAAGAGUUUUUAAUCUCCUGUAAUGGAGUCUGUUUUGGUCAGACAUAAUCUGACGUAGUGUGAUUAGGAUGCAUAAUCCCUGCCCCCGCUCCUCUACAAAAUAUCCUCGACAGUGGCUGAAUGUGUCACCCCUCCCCCCUCUCCUCUGGCGUAGCUUCUCCAUACUGUAGGAGUCUGCCCUAGGGGCUCAACAAUAUGGUCCCGUUUCUAAUUAAUCACAACUUAAAUCUCAGAAAGUCUGUGUGAUGUGAGUUUCUAAACGGAAUAUUUAUUAGUGUCUCACCAGGAGCUGACUCAGGAUCAGCCGUUCGUGUCUGUGAUGGUUUGCUGCAGAGAGUGGACGGUCUCUCCAGCAGGCGUUAGGGAUGCACUGAGGUGGAAGUGACUGACAGCUGCACCGCUCAGGGAGCUACCGGAGACAGUAACACGACCUGAACCAAGGGGGCAGCAGAGUCAGAACCAGAACCAUCUGCACCUGAAUUCAUCCGUUUUAUUACAGACGUGGAUCUUCAUCAUGAACCUAGGCUGUGGUUGUUAUAAUGUUCACAAGUGAAGCCUUCACCUGGGGCAUCUUCUGAUUCUGCGGAUCUUUGAUUCCAGAGUCGGGUCGCGGUGGCGGCAGCCUAAGUCGAGGCGCCCAGACUUCCCUCACCCCAGCCACUUGAACCAGCUUUUCCGGGGGAAUCCCAAGGCGUUCCCUGGCCAGAUGAGAGACACAGUCUCUCCAGCGUGUCCUGGGUCUUUCUCCUUCCGGUUGGACGUGCCUGGAAAACCUCACCAGGGAGGUGUCCAGGAGGCAUCCUGUCCAGAUGCCCGAGCCACCUCAACUAGCUCCUCUCGAUGUGGAGGAGCAGCGGGUCUACUCCGAGCCCCUCCCGGAUGACCGAGUUUCUCACCCUAUCUCUAAGGGAGAGCCCAGCCACCCUGCGGAGAAAACUCAUUUCGGCCGCUUGUAUCCGCGAUCUCGUUCUUUCGGUCCCUACCCAAAUCUCACGACCAUAGGUGAGGGUAGGAACGUAGAUCAACGGGUAAAUCAAGAGCUUCACCUUCUGGCUCAGCUGUCUCUUUCUGCACUCUACAUUUUGCCCUAUUAUUUGUCUGUUCUGGGCCUGCUGUUGUCGGGUUUAGGGUCAGAGUUACUCCCCUCACACUUGAUUUCCCACUUGAGGCUUUGAGAGUAAAAACGUAUUAUUUCUCACAAUCCUGCCUUUGACUGACAUUUGAGUCCACUUUGAGCGACUUCACGUCGUUUUUGAAAUCCUUUCCAACACGGUAGACGUUUAUUAUCAGGGAAUUUGGUAACAUCUUUAAAGAUGAUCCUACUCCAUAAUUAGUAUCAGAUUUCAGUCCUGUGGGGGAAUGUGACAAAAGAAUGCUGCCUAAAAUGAGCAUCCUCACAAACGGAUGAUCGUGCUGAUCUUGGUGGAUGCUAGAUUGUGUUGCUCCUUUAAAGCUGAAGGAGAUCAGGCAUGGAGGUUGGCUCUUUGGUUUCAUUUAAAGCAGAUUUUUCAACAAAGAUGAGAAGAAAGUGGGAGAGUUGUGUAUGUGAUGGACCCUCGGACCUGGUAGCUGGAGGUUUCUUUGUGUGAAAAAGGCGACGUUCUUUCAUUUGUUCCGUCUAUUUACACUCAAGCACAUCUCACAUCUCAUGCUAGUGUUUUUACACUUAUUUUUAAAAUGUUGGAAAGUCAACUAAACUGCCUGUGAUUGUAUAGCGCCUUCUUAGGGUUCUACAACCCCCAAGGUGCUUCACAGCACAAUUAGUUACCCACCCAUUCACACACUGGUGGGGAUGAGCUAAGAUGUAGCCACAGCUGUCCUGGGGCGCUGACAGAGGCGAGGCUGCCGAGCACUGGCGACACCGGUCCCUCGGAUCACCACCAGCAGGCAAGGUGGGUUAAGUGCUUUGUCCAAGGACACAACAGCAGCAUUCUCUGGUGGGGGCCGGGAUCGAACCUGCAACCUUAUGAUUGCAGGACAAUCCGCUCUACCUCCUGAGCCACUGCCGCCCCUGACAGAAUCUUUAGACUAUUUCUUGCCUACGUAUUGUUUUUGCUCAGUGUGCAGCAUUUUAUUUCUGUUUGUUUAUUUUUUGCCCCUGCAGGACAAUAAAAGGAUUUUCUAUU